rnacentral:lncRNA from 1 species
CCCACCCCGAACCCGUCCCCGAACCCACCCGUUUAUAUAAAAUUACUAUAUUACCCCUAUUUAUUUAUAAUGUCACAAAUCAUAUAACUCAUCUUCUCGCUUCCCAAUUCCCACUUAACGUCUUUGCCACUUCCCACCUCCACCUAAUUCUCUUUCUCACUUCCAAUAAUUUCACUUCCCAACAAGCAGUAUUGAUUCUUUCUCUCUCAAUUCCAUUCCAAACUUUUCAAGUUCUACACAUCUUAUAUUGCUAUGUUUCAUUUAUGGUUUUGAUAAUUUUGGUUUGAUAUUUUGGAAUAUCAUUUCAUUUGUAUGUU